ACAUCCUGUUAAUUUAAGGCUUCUUAUGCUAAUUUUCCGUCAAUUUUAUUUGCCUAAGAAAUUUAUUGGUGGCCUCCAGGGUAACAGCUGGGCUUGGUCCAAAGAUGAGGGAUCCUUGCUAAAAACACCAUGCGAAGAGGAGAAGAGAGCUUGGAGUCAGGGCCGGAGGACGGGAGGGCAGAGUUAGCGGGGGUUGCUGGCCAGGACUCCUGGAUCUGAGGCCCUGCAGAGGACAGGGCAGCUGGGUUGGGCAGCUCCCCUGCAGGGAGUCUGGUAAAGGUUUCCUGAAGCCUCCGCUGCUGGAUGCACUCGAUUUACUGUGGCCAGGAGGAGGCUGCUCCGGAGAAGAGUGUCGGGGCGAUGUGUGAAUUUAUAGAACAGCAGGAGGAGGCCGCUUGUGUAAGCUGGCGUCCAUCUCUUUGGGCAGAGGCCUGAAUUUCUGUUUGGGGUCUGGGCUGGGCUGCAUGCACAGGCAGCCCAGGCUGGCUUUGAACUCACGAUGACCCUAUUGCCUCAGCCUCCCAAAUGCUAGAAGCACCGGCGUUUGCCACCAUAACCAACUGUGCCAGAUUCUGAGGCCCAUGAGUGUACAGAGGAUAACAGGACUUGAACCCAGACCUCAAAGGAUUGGCCUGCAGAUGGGGAAACUGAGGGCUGGAGCUGGGAGGAGACUCGUCCCUGAUAGACCGACCCUGUCCUGCAGAGAGCCGGCCUCAUCCAGAUUUCAGGUCUAGAGGGGCGCACGGGGCCGAUCCCUGAGGCACAAAGCACCGCUGGGCAGCUGACGUCUGGGCAAUGGAGGGAAAGUCGAUAGCCCCUGUGGGGUGUGGAGUCAGUGCCCACUCCAUCCAGGGGAUGCAGGUGGUGCGGAUUGGAGUUGGAGAACUCACCUGGCCCUUGGGGUGUGGAUGGAAGCCGCUCCAGGGACAGCGGGCUUUGGGGGCCUACAGUGGGUAGUAGUACCCAUGUCACCUGAGACAGAGCACAGGAGGAGGCAGGAGGCCUGUAAUCCCAACACCCUGGGAGGCUGAAGCAGGAAGGCCUCAAGUUCAAGGCUAGUGUGAGCAACUUACUUGUCUGAGAACUUGUCUCAAAAUAAAGAAGUAAAAAAUAAAGAAAGAUGUCUGGGGAACAGCUCAGUGAAGGCCCUUGUUCAAUUCCUUGUACUGUAAACAACAACAACAGCAAAAGCAAAGCAAAAAACCAAGAGUCAGUCAAAAGGGAUCAAAGGUUUACCAGUAACUACAAAAUAUUCAGGAAAGAAAAUGCAAGGGACCAUCUUUGGGACCUAAGAGCCUGGUGAAGAGUUCUUAGAGGUGGCAUCAAAAGCACAAUUCCUGAAAGAAAACAUAGGCCAAAAGUAAGAACCUUCACGCUGUGCAGAGUUCAGAGAAGAGGAGCGACCGGUGGCCGGAAGUCCCCUCGAGGGUGGUGUGCGCAGCCCGUCUGGGACACGCGGGGGUGUGGCCAGCGCGGAGCAGUCCUGUCCCCUGUGUGCAGCUCAGUGAGGGCUGGGGGAAGACGAGACAUGUCCAUGGGGCAACGGAACUGAACUGAACGGCAUGGCGGCUGGGGAUGGGUCCAGCUGGGAGAGAACCCCCAUCCACUCCUGCAGAGCAGGGCAGAGUGGACCAAAGCAAAAGGAAACCUUGUCCUCACAGCCAAGGCUGGCUGGACACAGAGAAGCUGACGUCCCCUGUGUGACCCGUGGGCCUGGGGAACUACUCUGGAAAAGUUUGGCAGUUUCUUUUAAAAACCAGCUUUGCAUUUGA